rnacentral:rRNA from 1 species
UACGUAGGGGGCUAGCGUUGUCCGGAAUCAUUGGGCGUAAAGAGCGUGUAGGCGGCCCGGUAAGUCCGCUGUGAAAGCCGGGGGCUCAACCCUCGAAUGCCGGUGGAUACUGUCGGGCUAGAGUGCGGAAGAGGCGAGUGGAAUUCCUGGUGUAGCGGUGAAAUGCGCAGAUAUCAGGAGGAACACCGAUUGCGAAGGCAGCUCGCUGGGACGUCACUGACGCUGAGACGCGAAAGCGUGGGGAGCAAACAGG